rnacentral:rRNA from 1 species
UGCCAGCAGCCGCGGUAAUACGUAGGGUGCACGCGUUAAUCGGAAUUACUGGGCGUAAAGCGCACGUAGGCGGAUUCGCAAGUCAGAUGUGAAAUCCCCGGGCUCAACCUGGGAACUGCACUUAAAACUGCUGGGCUAGAGGCCGAGAGAGGUGAGUGGAAUUCCCAGUGUAGAGGUGAAAUUCGUAGAUAUUGGGAAGAACACCAGUGGCGAAGGCGGCUCACUGGCUCGGAUCUGACGCUGAGGUGCGAAAGCGUGGGGAGCAAACAGGAUUAGAUA